UACGAAGGGUGCGAGCGUUAAUCGGAAUUACUGGGCGUAAAGCGUGCGUAGGUGGCUUGAUAAGUCGGAUGUGAAAGCCCCGGGCUCAACCUGGGAACUGCAUCCGAUACUGUCGAGCUUGGAGUUUGGAAGAGGGUGGUGGAAUUCCCGGUGUAGCGGUGAAAUGCGUAGAGAUCGGGAGGAACAUCAGUGGCGAAGGCGGCCACCUGGUCCAAAACUGACGCUGAUGCACGAAAGCGUGGGGAGCAAACAGG
rnacentral:rRNA from 1 species